GAUGAACGCUGGCGGCGUGCCUAACACAUGCAAGUCGAGCGGCAGCGAGGGGUGCUUGCACCCUGUCGGCGAGCGGCGGACGGCUGAGUAACGCGUGGGAACGUGCCCCAAAGUGAGGAAUAACUGCCCGAAAGGGUAGCUAAUACCGCAUAUUAUCUUCGGAUCAAAGGAUUUAUCCGCUUUGGGAGCGGCUCGCGUCGGAUUAGGUAGUUGGUGAGGUAAUGGCUCACCAAGCCGACGAUCCGUAGCUGGUCUGAGAGGAUGACCAGCCAGACUGGAACUGAGACACGGUCCAGACUCCUACGGGAGGCAGCAGUGAGGAAUCUUCCACAAUGGGCGAAAGCCUGAUGGAGCAACGCCGCGUGUAGGACGAAGGCCUUCGGGUUGUAAACUGCUUUUAUAAGUGAGGAAUAUGACGGUAACUGAUGAAUAAGGAUCGGCUAACUACGUG
rnacentral:rRNA from 1 species